GAGCGCGCUACCACUUGAGCCACAUCCCCAGACCAGAGGGUCUAGACCUGGUCGUUCAGCCUCUCCCAGCUGCCUUCAUUCAUGGGAAGAUGCUCUUCUCAAGGGAAGCCUUGUGCAGAAGCCCCAGCAAGCUGAUGUCGGAGGGGAGGGCACAGGGCGCUGGACCACCUCCUGCUGACGGCCCUGCCCGCUCUCCUUGUCCCAGCACCGCUGGGCACCCGCUGCGCUAGUCAGCUGCCACAGACCUGUCGGCCUCACAGUACUGUCUUCUCGAAGCAACAGCAAAAUGUGUUUUACAUAGGAUGACCCCAGAUACUGUCUGAUGGGGAAACAAAUUUUGUUGGAUGCACAGUUUUGCUUUGCAUUUUUAACACGGCAUCUGCAGUGUACAGUGGAAUUCAGUUCAACUUCUGAAGAGACAGAACAAAAGACAAAGUAAAUUGGAAGCCGAAGCCAUCAUUCUCCUCCUCCUUUUCCAACUUCAGUCCUGUUAAUGCUAAAUAGAUGGUGAGACAUAACAAGCCCAGAAAGCUCCGUGACCUGGGCGCUCAUCUUACUUAUUAUCUUUUUUUUUUUUGACGACAUUGGGGAUUAAGCUCAGGGCGCUCUAACACUGAGCCACAUCCCCAGCACAGCGGUUUUUAUUUUCGAUCUGAGACAGCUGCCCAGCUGCCCUUCCACUCAGGACCUCUCGCUCAGCUUCUGAGUUCUGGGAUUGAGGCGUGGCCGCGCCCAGCUCUGGGUGCUUUGUUCUGCUGGGGGCUGCCAUCUUGAGUCUGCUGGGAGAAAAAGAACUCAGUGAACAUGAUAUAGUAAAGCAAAACCAAGGGCCAGACUUAAAGUGCUUCCAGAACAGACUUCAAACAAGUCCUCUUAAAGGUCUUUGGAAAACACUAAACCAGGAUCGAGUAUGAGCACUAUUCUGUGCUGUGUCUAACAAUGAGUAUUUCCAUGGCAUAAAAUGCUAAAUACUUUAUGAGUAGUAUAUUAAUAAAUAUACGACUAUUACUACUAGUCUA